GAGGAGGAGGAGGAGGAGGAGGAGGAG
rnacentral:piRNA from 5 species